rnacentral:rRNA from 1 species
CUUGUCUUAAAGAUUAAGCCAUGCAUGUCUAAGUAUAAAUAGUAUACAGUGAAACUGCGAAUGGCUCAUUAAAACAGUUUAUAGUUUUAUUUGAUAAUUGAAUUCUACAUGGAUAACCGUAGUAAUUCUAGAGCUAAUACAUGCUGUAAAACCUGACUUUUCGGAAAGGUUGUAUUUAUUAGAUAUCAAACCAAUAAUCUUUCGGGAUUAUUGUGAUGAUUCAUAAUAACUGAUCGGAUCAAGGUGUACCUUGAUAGAUCAUUCAAGUUUCUGCCCUAUCAGCUUUCGAUGGUAGUGUAUUGGACUACCAUGGCAGUCACGGGUAACGGAGAAUUAGGGUUCGAUUCCGGAGAGGGAGCCUGAGAAACGGCUACCACAUCUACGGAAGGCAGCAGGCGCGUAAAUUACCCAAUCCUGAUUCAGGGAGGUAGUGACAAGAAAUAACAACUCGGGGCCUCACGGCUUACGAGAUUGCAAUGAGAACAAUUUAAAUCUCUUAGCGAGGAACAAUUGGAGGGC